AUUCUGGAGGCAUCAGGCCAGGCCAGGGACUGCCCUGCCCUGACCCUUGCCUGGCUCUCCAGAGCCAAGGCGUUCACAGCUUGAGUUGGUUUGGCCUAAGACUCUUGAGAACAUUACAGAUUAAAUUUCAAGUGUUUCGUUUCCUAGCAAAGAGUCUUUAGCAACAUAAAAACGAGCAUGUGUUAUUUGCAAACCAUCUGAACCAUUACUCAACCUGAAUGUUCCUAAGUUUUUGCAAGAUGGGUAGGCAGAAGCACACUGGAGAUAAAGGCCUGGUUCAGUACCACACAUUUCAGUCACCAAAUGAGAAACAAUGGCUGCCAGUCUUCACACCCUUCAACAAUAAAGAGCUUUCAAGCUCUUGCUGUCAACAAGAGUUCUGGAAUGAUUACACUGGCUGAAAGACACAACGUAUCCACCCUUCCCACCCAUGGAUUCUUCAUCUAAACUCAAGCAAACCAAGACGGACAGCAUUAAGAAAUGAACCUGUCCCUGUAUGUGCAAACAAUUACCCUAUCAUGCUCCAAACAAUGUGCUAUAAUAACUGUAGCAUACUACCAGCGGUUAAAACUAACCUAGAGCAGACGAGAGAGCAUGUGCACACUACAUGCAAUACUAUUGUGCUUAUACAAGGGUCCUGAGCUUCUGAGGAUUUGAGCAUCAUAAAUAGAUAUCUGCUGAUAAAUAUCAUGCUUGUACUCACAGAACCGGAGAGGUCUCAGGAGGAUUAGGAGUUCAAGGCUGGCCUAGGCUACAUGAGUCCUUGUCUCAUAAAACAAAACAACUCAAAAUCAAUCCGAAACUAAGGGGAUCACCUAUCUGGCUCUAAGCAUAAGAGAUAAAAAUAAAACAAUGUUUCAGAAAAGAAGUGUCUAGAAGAAAAAAAUUAAAUAUAGCUAUUUUAAAAUAUUUUUAAAGGGAUUUCUUUUUUUGCACAGCAAAAUAAAAGCCAAAUUAUUUUUCCUUAAGUAGU
rnacentral:lncRNA from 1 species